rnacentral:tRNA from 1 species
UGAGCACCUGGCGGAGGCGGCCGCGGUCGCCCAUGACGCGGCGGGGCACGCCGGGGCCGGUGCAGCCCACGAGUUGCAGGCCCUUGUUCUCGGCC